rnacentral:rRNA from 1 species
UGGGGGAGUAUUGCACAAUGGAGGAAACUACUGAUGCAGCGACGCCGCGUGAGGGAAGACGGUCUUCGGAUUGUAAACCUCUGUCUUUAGGGAAGAAGAUGAUGGUACCUAAAGAGGAAGCUCCGGCUAACUACGUGCCAGCAGCCGCGGUAAUACGUAGGGAGCGAGCGUUGUCCGGAAUUACUGGGUGUAAAGGGAGCGUAGGCGGGAAGACAAGUUGGAUGUUUAAACUAUCGGCUCAACUGGUAAUUGCAUCCAAAACUGUUUUCUUUGAGUGAAGUAGAGGCAGGCGGAAUUCCUAGUGUAGCGGUGAAAUGCGUAGAUAUUAGGAGGAACACCAGUGGCGAAG